AAAAACGUCUAAUGAGAUAGUAUCAACUUCAUGUGGUUGACAGCAUUUUGGUACAGUCCCAGCUGCAAUGUUAGAGAUGAUCAAUCACUAAAAGAAGUCUUUGUUCGAAAACCAGAAAAGUAAUAAGAAAAGAAUUAUUACCUAACCCUUCAAUAUUAAGCAUAUAGAGCUAAAAAGUUGUCAUCAUUCACUAAAAGUUGAAAUAUGUUGAUAUAGAUAGUGAGAGAAGUUUUGGAUCUCCAAAAACUAAUUUUUUUAAUGUACAAUUAAAGAUGGAUUAUAUGACAUCCCUAUUAAACUCGACUCUUAAUACCUCACUUUACAAAUCUAAUGUCUCUUGCAAGAACAGUCAAGUAGGAGGUAAAGUAGUCAGCAAAAUCAACAAGUAGAAGUGCUACUUGUUUUCACUUUUUCUAAUGAUGUUUGUAUAAAAGUAUGCAUAGUGAGGACAUCUUUAGGUAGCUUUCCAAAUGAUAUCUUGCACUGUGGGAUUAUAGUACUUUUUCUUUUGCGUCCAAUAUUUUUAUUGCUUUCUCUUUAUUGCGACUGAAUCAUUUCAGUAAGUGAUUUCAUAUUGAUUAAUAUAUUUUUCAGUUCCCAAUAGGCAUAUUACAUUUUCUUUCCACAUUAAUAGUCACAGAAAUAUUUAUUCUCAAUCUCAAUUGAAUAUACUAUCUAUGAAUUUCCAAACAUUACUAUAUGAUCCAUCCUAAAUCUUUCUCCAAUAAAGUACAUUACUUCUUCUUCCAUACUUAUACAGAUUUAGGACCUUAGAAGUUUUUUGAUCAACUUCAUCCCAACAAUUUUAUGUCAUCAUAUUCAAGUAUUCUAUAUGCCAUCAAAAUGAAAUCAUAAUAUACGCGAGUUGUUGCCGUUUUAACCAUAAGGAAAUCAUAACAGAAUUCCAUAAUAAUACAACCUCAUUUCUUUGGUCUAUACAUUUGUAAUAAUCUAACUUUUUUUUUUUUUUUUUAAAUCAAAUUCACCUAAUAGCAAUUGAGAAAUUUUAACUUAGAUGUCACUUUCUCUUUCAUCUUACCCCAACAUCACUUAAUGCUCUUUUAUAGUGUGGUACAUAAUAGCAUUGGAUAGAGAUAUUAUAUGAGUAGAAUACAUAUUUAUUCUUUAGUCUCUUUCUUCAGCUUUACAUUAUUAAAAAUAAAUAUUCUGUUUUCCACAACAAUAGCCUCGUAAUUUUAUAUCAUGAUUUGUUUCCACACCAUUAUUGUAUUUGGUAGUGCUAGUGAAGCUAACUCUAUGACCGCAAGCUAAGUGACCAACAAUUUACCUCAGGUAUUCACUAGCAAUUUAGGCUUGGAAAUCUUAUAUUUGAUGGCUAAAGUAUAAACUUGAUCAACAUGUUAUGAAACUAGAUGUCUUAGUUAAAUUAUUUAACUCUGCAAUCAUAAUUUUACAUUGACUCCAACGAGCUUCACUAUCUUAAUUCAACUCCUUUCGUUUAAAAAAAAAAAAAAAAAAAAGAGAAAUAGAGCACCUGAAGCCUAUGUAAUCUAUAGAUAUCCAAUUUUUAAAUUCUUAAAAAAAAGAAUAAUAAAUACAUGUAAUCUUCAAUGCUAUCACUCACAAUUAAUUAUAUAUCCCAUUUUGGAUAAUUAAAUCAUAUUUCUUCAACUAUAUACAAUCAUAAGGUAUAACCUUAGUAUUCUAUGUAUGAACAUAUCCUAAACUACGACUUGAAUAUUGUAGUAAUGAAAAGAAAUAUCAAAUUCAGUAUAAAAGAAAAACCAAAUGAAGUUUCUAUAAAAUCCAAUUGAGACAUCAGUUUUCACCGGGCAACUUCGUGAUCGAGUCUCCAUAUACAUAAAUAAAUCAACUAAAGUUAAAAAAAAAAAAAAAGGAAAAAAGAAAAAAGAAUAAAAAACAUAUUUGAGAAAUUAUGCAACAAAACUAAAAGGAACAUAGUGGAAAUACAUUUAAGAAAAGUAUACAAAAGCGUAUAACCGAAAAAAGAAUGCAAUAGAACAUAGCAAACUUUAAGUGGUCAUAACUGGUGCUAUUUAUUGAAACUGAAAAGGAGAAAGAUCCCAAGAGAUGACUAUGAGUCAAAACCUGCACAAUAUCAACAAAUGAGCAUAAAGUUGAAGUGGUAUGAGUAGACCAAAGAAUAAAAUAACAAUUAAAAUAAUUUUGAAAGUUUAUCCACAAUUCCUCUUUCAUGAAGACAAUUUAGAUCCAAAAGAAAUAUAUUUAGACAACAAAUGGAAAGAUCAGAGAAAAUAUUGACUAAAGAUUUUGGAUUUUUGAAAAAGAGAAUUAUGGGAAAUGAAGCAAACAUCGAAAUCAAACCCUGUGAUUCCAUUCGAUUGACGAUACCAAGCAUGUUAGGAAAUUGGACCGCUACUAAUUCCGCCAGGAUCAGUGGGACGCAAAAAAUAAUUUAAACUGAAAAGAAAUAAAUGUAGCAAAAAUAAUAAGUGCAAGUGACAUAAGAAUUUCGUGAUUCGGCAAUCGUGCCUACGUCCACAAACCCACACCAAUUCUUUUACUGUAUCAACAAGAGAAUAAAAGGAAUACAACAAAUACACUCUCUGUAUUUUAUUUGCCUACGCAAAGACAAUCUCUCAAUUUUCUCUCGUUAAUUUUCUACACAAACGAAAGCGUAACUGCUUCUCACUUUGUAUUUUGCUCACUAUCUCUCGUGUUUUCACUCUACACGAUUUUCUUGCACUUCUCUUUUGCUCUCCAUUUUUGCACCUGCUUUUGCCUCCAAUUUAUAGAGAAAUUCUCACCAUCCUCAUUAAAUGCAUGUCCAUCAAUUUCAACAAAGUUGCCUUGCAUUAAAUGCAUGGCAAAAUCUUCUUCCAAAACAAUUACGGCUGCAUGGUUGAAAGUUUCUCCAUUCACAUUGUUUUAGUCAACAAUUGCUACCAUAAUUUGGAAAAAAAUUUGUCUGACACCAUAGAAAAAUUGUGAAGCCGAAGUUAUAGGCUCCAAAAUUUCAACAAUCUCCCAC
rnacentral:lncRNA from 1 species